rnacentral:rRNA from 1 species
UACGUAGGGUGCGAGCGUUAAUCGGAAUUACUGGGCGUAAAGCGUGCGCAGGCGGUUUUGUAAGCCAGAUGUGAAAGCCCCGGGCUUAACCUGAGAAUGGCAUUUGGGACUGCAAGGCUUGAGUGCGGCAGAGGAGACUGGAAUUCCUGGUGUAGCAGUGAAAUGCGUAGAUAUCAGGAGGAAUACCGAUGGCGAAGGCAGGUCUCUGGGCUGACACUGACGCUCAUGCACGAAAGCGUGGGGAGCAAACAGG